rnacentral:rRNA from 1 species
GACGAACGCUGGCGGCGUGCCUAAUACAUGCAAGUCGAACGCACAGUUUAUACCGUAGCUUGCUCCACCAUAGACUGUGAGUUGCGAACGGGUGAGUAACGCGUAGGUAACCUGCCUGGUAGCGGGGGAUAACUAUUGGAAACGAUAGCUAAUACCGCAUAAUAUUGAUUAUUGCAUGAUAAUUAAUUGAAAGGUGCAAUUGCACCACUACCAGAUGGACCUGCGUUGUAUUAGCUAGUAGGUGAGGUAACGGCUCACCUAGGCGACGAUACAUAGCCGACCUGAGAGGGUGAUCGGCCACACUGGGACGGAGACACGGCCCAGACUCCUACGGGAGGCAGCAGUAGGGAAUCUUCGGCAAUGGACGAAAGUCUGACCGAGCAACGCCGCGUGAGUGAAGAAGGUUUUCGGAUCGUAAAGCUCUGUUGUAAGAGAAGAACGGGUGUGAGAGUGGAAAGUUCACACUGUGACGGUAUCUGACCAGAAAGGGACGGCUAACUACGUG